AUUGAACGCUGGCGGCAGGCUUAACACAUGCAAGUCGAGCGGAGCGAGGGUGCUUGCACCUUAGCUUAGCGGCGGACGGGUGAGUAAUGCUUAGGAAUCUGCCUAUUAGUGGGGGACAACAUUCCGAAAGGAAUGCUAAUACCGCAUACGCCCUACGGGGGAAAGCAGGGGAUCUUCGGACCUUGCGCUAAUAGAUGAGCCUAAGUCGGAUUAGCUAGUUGGUGGGGUAAAGGCCUACCAAGGCGACGAUCUGUAGCGGGUCUGAGAGGAGGAUCCGCCACACGGGGACUGAGACACGGCCCAGACUCCUACGGGAGGCAGCAGUGGGGAAUAUUGGACAAUGGGCGGAAGCCUGAUCCAGCCAUGCCGCGUGUGUGAAGAAGGCCUUUUGGUUGUAAAGCACUUUAAGCGAGGAGGAGGCUACUUAGAUUAAUACUCUGGGAUAGUGGACGUUACUCGCAGAAUAAGCACCGGCUAACUCUGUGCCAGCCGCCGCGGUAA
rnacentral:rRNA from 1 species